CAGAAUGUAGCGCAGUUUGGUAGCGUAUCUGUUUUGGAGAUAGAUGGUCAUAGGUUCAAAUCCUAUCGUUCUGA
rnacentral:tRNA from 1 species